rnacentral:rRNA from 1 species
UACGUAGGGUGCGAGCGUUGUCCGGAUUUAUUGGGCGUAAAGAGCGUGUAGGCGGCCAGGUAGGUCUGCUGUGAAAACUCGAGGCUCAACCUCGAGACGUCGGCGGAAACCGUCUGGCUAGAGUCCGGAAGAGGAGAGUGGAAUUCCCGGUGUAGCGGUGAAAUGCGCAGAUAUCGGGAAGAACACCCGUGGCGAAGGCGGCUCUCUGGAACGCAACUGACGCUGAGACGCGAAAGCGUGGGGAGCAAACAGG